GAAACUCGUACUACGCUGAAGCACCGGCCUCCUCCUCCUCCUCUUUCCUUUUGCGAGCCCACUUGGGGCUGACCUCGAUGAGCCGGUGCGGCAUGAGCUGCUUCUCCUUCCGGGUGAGCUUCUUGUAGUUCAUGACCCUGAGUUUCGCAAUCUUGGCUUCCUCCUCGGCUGUGGCUUCUCUGACCACCACCGUCAGCCUGCACCUAGGUCUCUCCCUCACACCACACCUCCCUUUGGCGUGGUAAGACAGCCUCUUGAGAUAAAGUCCCUUUCCCACAAAAGCCUCUUCUGCAGUGUCGUCGAGGAGGAGGGUCAAUGUUUUGGCAGCCCUUUUAACCGUCACUUGCAACUGUAAAAGGGCAUCUUCCACGCGCAUUCCUCGAACCAGCUUAGCUACCAGAUUCACUUUCUUGGGGCUCUAAAUCCAGCAGAAGAUUAAGACCAGUUUGAGAAAUAAAUAGCUCUUGAUGGUACUAGCAAUACAUUAUGAACAGCACUCCAGUUCAUGAAGUUUGUUGGGCAGCCUUAUAACCUCUCUAUGUACUCCGUGCUCGUUAAUAUACAUCAUGAAGUUUGUUGGGCAGCCCUGGUCUCUCUACGUGCCCGUUAUUACAUUCCACUUCAGGUGAAGUGGGAUAAACAAAUGUUAUCCAUAAAUUCAGUGAUGAAUAAAAGCUACAAGCACAUUCCAAGUUGAAAUUAUGAAACAAGUGCAUCUUCUGCAAAGAGCAGACAUGUAUACAUUCAUCGAUUACUACUUUCAUCAUUACUAACAGCGUGCUUUGCUAUGUAACCGCUGCAAUUCUCAGGAGCACAUAUGUAGCAAUCGCAGACGAUAUCAAUAAAAAAAGAAAAGCUUAAUGCGCCUAUCACCUGAUCUUUGCCAUACCGGUUUGUUGUUUGGACUUUGUACAUACCAACCAUGCAAAAGCUUUCAGUAAGUUUCAUGGGAAUGACAUGUAUUUGACUAAACUACAUGUUGAAGGGAAGCUUUCAGGAAACUGCAUACUUGACAUGGCUGUCACAGGGCUGCACAACACAUGUCCUUACUCAAGCAUUUUAGCAUAUCUCUGAGAAUCUCAUGGACCCUCAUGGCAAACUCUGUUUACUCGGCCACUUCAGCCUACGCCGCCCAAUUCUAUGGUCUGAUUGAAAACCCGCAGCUGCGAAGAGCUUGGGAUGUCAAAGCAGAGGGCAAGCUCAAGUUCUUCCCUUGGUUAAUUCUGCAGAACCGAGUCUGGACCGCUGACCGCCUUGCCGCGCGCGGUUGGCCUCAUGAUGACAUUUGCUCGCUAUGUGACCAGGAGAUGGAGUCCGUCAAUCACCUGCUGCUCCAGUGCCCGUUUGCCAAGGAGGUUUGGUUUUCCUUCAACACCUCGCAUCCUUUCAGCUCGGACUUAGCUCUUCGCUGUACCUCUAUCUCUGGUUGGUGGAAAAGAAUCUCCACUCUCCAGAGAUAUCAAGAAGAAAGAAGCCCGUGCGAUGAUCUCCAUGGCAGUGUACACGGUCUGGCCUUUAUGGAAGGAGAGGAACAGGAGGAUCUUCGAGGGACAAAAGGCUAAUGCUGAAACUGUAGUGUCUUUCAUCCGAGACGAUCUGCACUUUGCAGGUCCAUCUCUUUGCGAGUAGUCCCUUGUUUUUCUCUCGAGUUUUUUUUCUUUUUUUAAUUUCUUUCCUCCUGUUUCUGGACUUCCAGACAUUGUACAGCUAUUUCCCCCCUUGCUUAAAUGAAAAAGGCGGAGCUCCUGCAGUUGACCGUGAAAAUAGUAAGCCUCUUUUUUUUUUGCGGGGUUAAAAGGAUUUCAUAGCUCAACUGUUGGAAUAUCCGUUCCUACAUAGCAGAGGAACUUCUGCAGGUCCAGAGCGCAACCAAACUGCAGUUCGGCCCUCCGAUCGUUCGAAAGCAGCAAGGGUAUGGCUAACAACGUUCUGGUUCCUACUUACAUGAUCAAUAGAGAUAUCCCUUUCACCAAAGAGCCUCUUAAUAUCCUGAACUAACAUUCUAUGUGGCGAUCUGUCAAGGGUAGGCGACUUGAUCAACUUGACCGCAUCCAUGCAGUCCAUCUCGAUGUCUACCGGGCGAGUAGACCAUUGUAGAGCAAGGCUUAAUCCCUCCUGGCACGCCAAUAGCUCAGACUGGAGCGGUCCGGAACAAUGCAAGAUGGAACGACAAGCGGAGAAGAUAAUGUUGCCGUCAUUAUCACAUAGGAUCAUACCAGCUCUUGCUAAUCCACCGUCUGUAUCAACGAAUGACCCGUCAACAUUCAACUUCACGCGACCGGCCGGCGGGGCAGACCACUGGGCCGUGGCUGCAUGCUGUGUGGGUAUAUUUAUUAUUGUAGAACUAUACCCAAUCGGCGGCAGUACCAUCUUCCCUUUGAUGAUGUCAGUGGUUGAAAAAUAAUUGAUGCAUCGAAGAGAUUCAGCAUAGCUAAUCAGAAAAUAAUUGUUUUUGUUUUGGAGGGGAAUAGACCUGAUAAUCUAAGAUAAACUUUUAUUUGUAUUGCUUUGGAUGAGAAGGGAUGAUAUAAGACAAAGUAAGCAGGGGAAAUGAGUGACAGAGCAAAAUAUGGGCCUUAGAAAAUGAAGAAACCUGGUGGGUUUUCUUUUAAUUAUUAGUGAAGAAGGCAAGAAGCAUAAUCAAAAUUUAUUAGGGAGCAACUAAUUAACGAGCGCUCCUUUGGGAGCCUCGCAACGAUCAGCGCCACUUGGCGCGCUCUCAGCCAUUCGCCACGUGUCGCGCUCUGAACGCUCCCUCCGGGUUUUUUUUUUGCACGCGUUUUCGGCUUUUUAAAUGGUUUUUUUUACGUUUUGGUUUCCCCCGGUCUUUCUUAGCUUUUCGAUUAAAAAAAUUCAAAAAAAAUUGGGGGCUGACUCUUUCUGGGCUUUUUUGUCGUUGCGCUGUGGCCGUUUGCUCGCGUGUGGGCUUUGCUGGGGUCCACUUGGCGUUCCGGUAUGCAGUUAAGCUAGCUAAGCCAAGCAGUCCAUCAUCAACUAGUCAAUGGCGCGAACCAAGUGGUCAGCUUGGUAAGCUAUCAACAAAAAAUUACAAUCACCAACUAGUCAAUGGCGCAGAUAGCCGUGCCUUCAUCGGCCGUCGCAGCGAUGGCAGCCGCAGCUGUACUGAUCACGGCGCUGAUCUCCGCCGCGGAGCCGAAGCACCGGCGCUGGCUGGGAGACCCGGCUGCGACACUUGGUGCGGGGACGUAACUAUGCCAUUCCCGUUUGGUUUCGGCCGGCCCGGGUGCUCCGCGGGACCAGGUUUCAACCUCACCUGCGAUAACACCACCUGUCCUGGCCGGCCCCGGCUGCUCCUCGGCGAGCGCGGCAUAUUCGAGGUCAGUGACAUCUUCCCGGAAGAACGGUGGGUGAGCGUGCUGAGACCCCCUAUCUUUGGGGACGCCGCCGGGAAGAACAUCAGCACCUCCGGCGCCGUCAUGAGAGGGUCGUGGGGCGGCGGGGGCCUUUUUCAAGAUUUAUAAAGCUGAAGUGGAAAACCAACUUGAUCAAAAAAUCAAGAGGCUUAGUUCCGACCGUGGUGGAGAGUAUUUUUCCAAUGAAUCUGAUGCUUUUUGUGCGGAACAUGGUAUAAUCCAUGAGAGGAUGCCUCCCCAUUCACCUCAGUCAAAUGGGAUGGCCGAAAGGAAGAACCGUACUCUAACUGAUUUGGUUAACGCCAUGUUAGACACAUCGGGUCUCUCCAAGGCAUGGUGGGGGGAGGCGAUAUUGACUGCAUGUCAUGGUAACAUUUUUAAAAUAAAUGCCGUACAUUUUAAUUGGCAAUAAUCAUUUCUUAAACUGCACGAAGAUUUUUAAAAUGGUAAUACUUUUUUGUGAAAAUUUCACAGGCAUUUUUUGGAACACACAUGAAUAUUUUCUUAAAAUGUCACGAAAUGUUUUUAAAUGGAAAUCAACAUUUUUAUCCGAAGUGAUAUUUGAGUAUCAUCUUAUAUUAUGGGACGGAGGGAGUAACAUUUUUUAUAACAUUAUGAAUAUUUUGUUGAAACACGGGAAUAUUUCCAUCAGAGUUGAAGUAAAUUCUUUCAGUAGCAAGAAACAAUUUUUUUGGCAUUGCAUACAUAUUUUUUAAAAACAAGCGACCGACAAAAUAUUUGGCCAAGGGAAAUGGAGAAGCCCAACCGCUCUGUUGUGGACGAAUAGGCCGAAUAGGUCGCAACAAAUUGACAAAGCCCAACUGGAUAGAACCGGGCCCAACAGAAAAAAUCACCAAAAACCUAUCAGAGCCAGGUUUCGAUCGUGGGACCUGUGGGUUAUGGGCCCACCACGCUUCCACUGCGCCACUCUGAUUUGCUUUUUUUUUUGGUGUGAAUUCCCUUAUAUAUACAAGUAGCUGCCGUCAAUGGACUACAAAACAUUAUUAUGCACAUUAGCCAGCAAUAAAAGUCCAUGUGUACCAUCUACUUCAACUCCCAUUAAAAAAUUUCUCAAAAAAAACUCCAAUUAAAAAACUGAAUGAACAUCUUAGAAAUUCCAGUGAAAUUUAGAAAAAUCAGGAUUAUCUUUGAAAGGCAAUGGGAAAUAUGAUAAGUUUUUUUUUGAGGGAAGAGAAUAUGACAUUUUUCUUUGCUUGCUGCAUAUCUCACUCAAUCCCUUGCUUUCGAGAAUAGCAUUUCCCUAGCGCUAGUUGUGGGUCAGAGUUGACAGAUCAGAAGUUGGAAACAUAUACUCCUAUAAUAAAAAAUGAUUUUGAGUCCGAUGUGUUUUUCUAGAAUAAAUCUUGGACUAACAAACAAGCAUCAUUAAAAUUUCGUACAAAUGUAUGUUUUUCUUACACACAUUUUCCUUGUUUUCCCUUACUUUCCAAGUCGUCUUGAUUGGGCUCCUAGGUGUGCAAAACUGUGGCCACAUCAUUGUCAAAGCUGCUUUUGUUCCUGCAAACCUAGAUGGUUUUGACAAUAUAUGGUACUCCCGCCGUUCCAAAAUAAGUAUCAUGGUUUUAGUUUAAAUUUAAGCUAGAACCACGGCAACUAUUUUAGAAAGGAGGGAGUAUUAGGUCUGGCAGGCUGGACUUAAAUUUUAAAUUAAAUAAUCUAAUAGGUACUCCAUUUUAUUCAACACACAACUAAUGAGGUUGCAUUUUCUCAACAAGGAAAAUUAAUCAAGUUGCAAGAAAUGCAUUUUAUCCGAUCCAGAAUUUGAGCGAAUAUCUAACCACUUAUUAACACCAUUCAUAACAACUUUUCAAAAAAUAACACACCCACAUUCUAAACACCCUUAAAUAGCAACUUCUGAGGGGAGGCGGCAACUGUUAGUAUCAAAAAUUCAAAAUGUGGUUUACCUCACCACUAGCGUUGCCGAGACAAAAAGGACCAGCAUUUCUACUGCUCCGCAAAUUCAAGGAACACACCGAUGGCAUGUAUAAGAAGAGACAUGCCCAACAGCACAUCAGAGGUCAACUUAUUCAUUGUUAACUAGAGCAAAUGUCUUGAAAGAUUUCGUAUGGACGACACAAGCAGAACAGAGGCUGGUCAGGCAAACGAGACCACAAAUUCUUCCACUGGAGCUCCACGCCGCGGCUGUUCUUCAGUAGGCCUAGACGACUGCAGAUGCAGCUACUACUCUCUGGCUCCAGGCCGGCCAAGAAAGACGGACCCUGCUGCAAACAAAAACUUGUCCUACGCUGAAGCAUGUACUGUCUAUACUGUCUGCUCUACAUAUGUUUAGUUACGGCUUAUAUAUGAACAUGUUGUUUACCUUCUCUUUGUCGAAUCGCAUGACUUAUGUUAUUACUGCUAUACUAGCCAUGCUUUAUCUAGUAUUUCUGUUAAUAAAUUCAUUCAGUAAAUUGCUCAUAUUUCCAACAUGGUCUUCCAAGUAGAUAAGGAUGGAAGUUGGUGGGCCCCAUGAGAACGUGGUUGUGCUUCCAGGCCAACUAAUGUGAGACCGCAUGCGAGCAAGCGCACGACUGCAGAUGCAGCUACUACUCUCUGGCUCCAGGCCGGCCAAGAAAGACGGACCCUGCAGCAAAUGGAAACUCGUACUACGCUGAAGCACCGGCCUCCUCCUCCUCCUCUUUCCUUUUGCGAGCCCACUUGGGGCUGACCUCGAUGAGCCGGUGCGGCAUGAGCUGCUUCUCCUUCCGGGUGAGCUUCUUGUAGUUCAUGACCCUGAGUUUCGCAAUCUUGGCUUCCUCCUCGGCUGUGGCUUCUCUGACCACCACCGUCAGCCUGCACCUAGGUCUCUCCCUCACACCACACCUCCCUUUGGCGUGGUAAGACAGCCUCUUGAGAUAAAGUCCCUUUCCCACAAAAGCCUCUUCUGCAGUGUCGUCGAGGAGGAGGGUCAAUGUUUUGGCAGCCCUUUUAACCGUCACUUGCAACUGUAAAAGGGCAUCUUCCACGCGCAUUCCUCGAACCAGCUUAGCUACCAGAUUCACUUUCUUGGGGCUCUAAAUCCAGCAGAAGAUUAAGACCAGUUUGAGAAAUAAAUAGCUCUUGAUGGUACUAGCAAUACAUUAUGAACA
rnacentral:lncRNA from 1 species